GAUGAAGAACGUAGUGAAAGGCGAUACGUAAUGUGAAUCACAAAUUCAGUGAAUCAUCGAGUCUUUGAACGCACAUUGCGCCCCCUGGUAUUCCGGGGGGCAUGCCUGUCCGAGCGUCAUUGCUGCCCUCAAGCACGGCUUGUGUGUUGGGCCCCGUCCUCCGAUCCCGGGGGACGGGCCCGAAAGGCAGCGGCGGCACCGCGUCCGGUCCUCGAGCGUAUGGGGCUUUGUCACCCGCUCUGUAGGCCCGGCCGGCGCUUGCCGAUCAACCCAAAUUUUUUAUCCAGGUUGACCUCGGAUCAGGUAGGGAUACCCGCUGAACUUAAGCAUAUCAAUAAGCGGAGGA
rnacentral:misc_RNA from 1 species